rnacentral:rRNA from 1 species
CCUACGGGGGGCAGCAGUGGGGAAUUGUUCGCAAUGGGCGCAAGCCUGACGACGCAACGCCGCGUGGAGGAUGAAGAUCUUCGGGUCGUAAACUCCUGUCGAGUGGGAAGAAACGUCACGGGGCCAACACCCUCGUGAUUUGACGGUACCACUAAAGGAAGCCCCGGCUAACUCCGUGCCAGCAGCCGCGGUAAUACGGGGGGGGCAAGCGUUGUUCGGAAUUACUGGGCGUAAAGGGCUCGUAGGCGGCCAACUAAGUCGGAUGUGAAAUCCCCAGGCUCAACCUGGGAACUGCAUCCGAUACUGGAUGGCUUGAAUUCGGGAGAGGGAUGCAGAAUUCCAGGUGUAGCGGUGAAAUGCGUAGAUAUCUGGAGGAAUACCGGUGGCGAAGGCGGCAUCCUGGACCGACAUUGACGCUGAGGAGCGAAAGCUAGGGGAG